rnacentral:misc_RNA from 1 species
AUUCAAUGUCUGGUACCAUCUCUUCUAUGAAAUCUAGGUAGUGUUGAAUUCCACCUUUGGGUAUAGAUUGGUUCGUCGGAAAAAUGAGAUAAUCUCCAGACUCCACCACCCAGCUCUCUUUCUUAACAUAUACCUCUAGUUUCGGGUGCGCCACAUUUUUAUAAUGUAUCUUUGACUUACUCUCAGGCCAGCUUACUGGAGUCUCAUAACCACCAGGAGGAAGGGGAACAAGACACAUUUGAGGUGCUUUAGGACAACUUCUUUCGUGAUGCCGAUAAUUCUGCAACUUUCCACUGGCACUUUCAAAGUCAAUGCAAGGAAUGUAAUUAUGCUUGCUCCUAGUGCUACAUAAAUUCCAAGUAUAAUGUGCUUUUGGAUCAAAUA